CUACAUCUCUCCUGGAGCCCCUUUAGGUCCUGGAAGGUGUUCUAAGGUCUCCCCGGAGCCUUCUCUUCUGCAGGCUGAACACCCCAAUUCUCUCAGCCUGUCUUUGCAGGAGAGGUGCUCCAGCCCACAGAGCAUCUUCACGGCCUCUUCUGGUUUCACUCCAACAGAUCCAUGUCUUUCCUG